UACGGAGGGUGCAAGCGUUAUCCGGAUUCACUGGGCUUAAAGCGUGUGUAGGCAGGCGAUCAAGUACCUUGUGAAAUCCCACGGCUCAACCGUGGAACUGCUGGGUAUACUGGUUGUCUUGAGCCAGCUAGGGGCGAGCGGAACAGACGGUGGGGCGGUGAAAUGCGUAGAUAUCGUCUGGAACGCCGAAGGUGAAAACAGCUCGCUGGGGCUGCGCUGACGCUGAGACACGAAAGCCAGGGGAGCGAACGGG
rnacentral:rRNA from 1 species